CCCUCACCAUCCUCACUCUCUUCCCAGACAUUCCUGACUAUUCCCCAAUCUAUUGCAACAUCCGCCUAAUUUGAUAAAAGAUUCUUCAGACAUUAAAAAACAUAGCACUAGAAAUAAAAGUUUGGAAAUAGACAUGGAACAAUAUCUGAAAAGUAGAUCAAAAAGAAAAGGAAGAUAAAAAUUUCAGAAAAUUAGACCAAUUCCAGAAGGCCAAUGUCCAAAUAAUAGAAGUCUAAGAUAAAAACAAAAGCAAGUGUGGCCAGCUGAUGAGAGUGGAUCCUCACAAGCUCAGAAACUACAGAAUCACGUAAAUGCCAGGAAAUUUAACAUGGUGAGGCUUUGCUGUAAGGUAAAGACAUAAGAGGCCAGAAUUCCAGAAGUUUUUCGGGCUACAGAAAGAAAGGUUUUCCUGUUGGGGGAAAAAAAUGAAUCUGAUACACAAUCCAACACUGAUCCUCCCUUCAUUUGAUGGAUGAAGAAGGCAAGAAAAUAUCUUGCAAGUGUCCACUCUGAGAUGCUAG
rnacentral:lncRNA from 1 species